rnacentral:rRNA from 1 species
UACGUAGGGUGCGAGCGUUAAUCGGAAUUACUGGGCGUAAAGCGUGCGCAGGCGGUUUUGUAAGUCAGAUGUGAAAUCCCCGGGCUCAACCUGGGAAUGGCAUUUGGGACUGCAAGGCUGGAGUGUGGCAGAGGAGACUGGAAUUCCUGGUGUAGCGGUGAAAUGCGCAGAUAUCAGGAGGAACACCAAUGGCGAAGGCAGCUCGCUGGGACGGUACUGACGCUGAGACGCGAAAGCGUGGGGAGCAAACAGG